rnacentral:rRNA from 1 species
ACGGGGGGGGCAAGCGUUGUUCGGAAUUACUGGGCGUAAAGGGUUCGUAGGUGGCUCGCUAAGUCAGACGUGAAAUCCCUCAGCUUAACUGGGGAACUGCGUCUGAGACUGGCGAGCUCGAGUGCAGGAGAGGAACGCGGAAUUCCAGGUGUAGCGGUGAAAUGCGUAGAUAUCUGGAGGAACACCGGUGGCGAAGGCGGCAUCCUGGACCAACACUGACGCUGAGGAGCGAAAGCCAGGGGAGCAAACGGGA